GUAGGUGAACCUGCGGAAGGAUCAUUACAGAUUGGAAUACCGUUCGGAGUCGUAAGGCUCCAAAUGGAUACAUACGUUCGGAGUCGUAAGGCUUCGUAACACAUUUACGCUUGAUUUGUUUGUCAGAGUAAGAAUAUAUAAUGAACCAUGGACAACUUUUAACAAUGGAUCUCUUGGCUCUU
rnacentral:misc_RNA from 1 species